ACUGCAAAUUUUGCUUUUUAAAAAAAAAUUCUGUAAUUAUUUUUAUGUUAAGAAUAUUGAAGUCCCAGAACACUUCUGAUUAUUGGAAACUACUUGACCUUUGCUGUGCCUUGGUAGCCUCUCCUCGCCCAUUGGACCUUAGCUUCUUUCAGUUGUUUUUGUUUGUUCUUUUCUCUCUUUAAUUAUUUUUUCUGACCACCAAACUGCUUUUUCAUUUCAUGUCUAAUCAAAUAAUUCGAAUCUCUUUCCCCAUUGUGUGAAUAAUUGACAUCCGCCGUUCCCUUCUACGUCCAAACACAACUCCGACCUAACUAAUUGUUUUCUUCUACAGCAGAUACGAAAAUGGUCAGCAUGUUAUUUCUUUUUUUUUUUUUUUUUUUUUUUUUUGAUAAAAGAUUUUCUAAUGUUAUUUCUUUUUGCAUCCACAAUCAAUUACAUAACCCUUUCUUAAAAAACUAUCCGCUAUUUAUAGUUCUACCAGUUAAUCCUUUGUCAUCCAGAUAUUAUGUUUUGAUUUAUACGGAUUUAUAUAAUUCAGAUAAUGAAAAGUGUUAAAGCGGAUAUUAUACAGUGUACACGAACAUUUGGACGGAUUUUAAGUAUGGACGAUAUUCAAAACCUAAGUUAUUAAUAUUAUUAUAAAUUUUAUUAGUAUUAUUAAUUAUAUUAAUUAUUGUUUAUUUUAUGUAUUUAUAUGAUUAUAGCUAGUAGUUUGAUUGUUUGCAAAGUAAUUUAAACUUAUAAAUUCAUCAUCUUAAUAUAUAUUUUAUAUCAUUUGAAACUAUUUAUAUAUAUUAAACUAUAUUUUAUACAUAAAAGAUAUUUCUGAAAUAUAUUUUUUCUCAAUUUUCUAAAACUAAUGUGUAUAUAUAUUAUAUAUAUAUUUUAAAUAAAAUUAUAUCUGUCUAAAUCUUUUUUAAACAUUCACAUAUAUUGUUAAGUAUCAAAA
rnacentral:lncRNA from 1 species